rnacentral:piRNA from 1 species
UGUCCUGCUUGUGAAGUGAGACUUGUGGA